CUUCCUGCGCCUUAUCUUCUCAAUCUGCUUCUCUCCACCGCACCCCAAAACUGAAACUCGAAACUAAAAAAAAAAAAAAAAAACCCAGAAGAAAUCACUUAAACCAAUGCUCUUAAUUCCAACCCCUUUCUCCAUCGUUUUCGUCUCUCCACAAAAUCACCAAGUUCUCCAAUAAACCCUAUUCUAAAUCUGUAACCACAUACUUGAGCAAAGAGGAAGAAAUCCAUUCUUCUUGAACCAUUUUCUUCUUUUCAUCUUUGCUGUUAAGGGAUUUUGAUUUCAGGGUUUGUUGUUGAGGUUUUUCUCCUUUUAUGCAGCAAAGAGGGUUCACUGUUAUAGUAUUUCUUCGUCUCUACAGCAAAAAGGGGUAGCUGUGAAGGUCUUUUUCCAUCUCGUACAAAAAGGGUACAACCAAUGCAAUUUUUUCUUUCAUCAUGACUAUAUGUUAAUUUGAUAAAAAGUCAGUUGAAAAAACAGUUGUUCCUACAAAUAUAAGGAUUAAGACAUGUACAAUCAUGUGAAUGAUGGUUCUUUACUGAAGGCUCCUCUUAUUUCCAAUGAUGUUUAUGAGAUAAUUAUGAAGGUGAUAGUCUAAUGAGGCUUGUAUUUGAUUCUUUUGUCAAUUUAAUAUAGUCUAUAUGGUUUAUGUUCAUUCGAUUUAUAUGUAUAAGUAUGGUUAGAAGUGAAUUAAAAUUUUGUUCUUCUCUAUA